AUGUCGGCAGUCGGCUACACCCUGCAUAAUGUCGAGGACUUAAUACUCUCAGGAAACAAUUUUGAUGGACCAAUCCCAGCCUCUCUUCUCAAAGCUUACCACCUCCGCUGGCUUGACUUGAACAAUAAUAGAUUUAUUGGAUUCAUACCAUUCUUCGGCUCACUGCCAAAUUUAGUGCACCUCGAUUUGGCAUCCAACGAGCUAGAAGCAGAUGACUGGGGAUUUGUCUCUUCACUAUCUAACUGCUCCAGAUUGAACAUGCUGGACCUGGAUGGAAACAAUCUCAAUGGGAAAUUGCCAAGUUCUAUUGGAAAUCUUUCAAAUAGUCUUGACUCGUUGUGGCUGAAUAGCAACCAAAUUUCUGGACCUAUACCACCGGAGAUUGGCAACCUUAAGAGCCUCAGUAUAUUGUACAUGGAAUACAAUUUUUUCACUGGUAAUAUACCACCAACAAUUGGGAAAUUGAACAAAUUGGUCAAGCUAUCCUUUGCACAUAACAGGCUUUCAGGUCAGAUUCCAGAUACUUUUGGCAAUCUUGUCCAGCUGAGUAUGCUGGAAUUGGAUCAUAACAACUUCAGUGGAAGAAUACCUGCAAGUAUAGCACGAUGCACUCAACUCACCAUACUCAACCUUGCUCACAACUCACUAGAUGGGCGUAUACCAAGCAAAAUCUUGACAAUCUCUACGCUUUCUAUAGAGCUGGACUUGUCAAACAACUACUUGUCUGGAGGAAUGUCUGAUGAAGUUGGAAGUCUCCUUCAUCUGAAGAAAAUCAACAUAUCAAAUAACAGGCUGACUGGCAACAUCCCAUCAACUCUCAGCCAGUGUGUUGACCUGGAGUAUCUUGAGAUGCAAAACAACUUAUUUGAAGGAAGGAUUCCGCAAACAUUUGCCAUCUUAGUCAGCAUAAAACACAUGGAUAUUUCUGGGAACAAUUUGUCUGGAAAUGUACCGGAGUUCCUCAAAUCCUUGAAAUCACUUCAAGACCUGAAUUUAUCCUUCAACCAUUUUGAUGGAGCAGUUCCGACAGGCGGUGUUUUUGACAUCGCUGGUGCGGUUUCAAUCGAAGGAAAUGAUCAUCUGUGUACAAUCAUCCCAACGAGAGGUAUGUAUCUUUGUAUGGCACUGGCUGAUAGCAAAAGAAAGCAGAGGCUACUGGUUCUAGCCCUGGUGAUUCUAUUGCCAAUUGUUGCUGCCACUGCAAUCCUUUUCUCUUGUAUUGUAACAAUUUAUUGGAGGAAACGGAUGCAAGCAAAUCCCCAUUUGCAACAUCACAAUGAGAACAUAAAGAAGAUACAGAAGAUAUCAUAUGAAGACUUGGUACGGGCGACUGAUAGGUUUUCUUCUGCAAACUUAAUUGGUUCUGGAUCAUUUGGAAGGGUUUAUAAGGGAAGUCUGCAGUUACAAUCAGAUCAAGUUGCCAUCAAGAUUUUUGACCUUGACAUUAAUGGGGCAGAUAGGAGCUUCAUAGCAGAGUGUGAAGCUCUAAGAAAUGUUCGCCAUCGGAAUCUUGUAAAAAUCAUUACCUCAUGCUCUUCUGUGGAUCAUACUGGGGCAGAUUUCAAGGCCCUAGUAUUCCCAUACAUGCCAAAUGGGAAUCUAGAAAUGUGGUUACAUGUAAAAGAUCCUGAAGAUGGUGAAAAGAAUAUUCUGAGUUUAAGCCAAAGGACUACCAUAGCCUUGUAUGUGGCAGUUGCUUUGGAUUAUCUUCACAAUCAGUGUGCACCUCCAGUUAUACAUUGCGACUUGAAGCCAAGCAAUAUUCUUUUGGGCCUUGACAUGGCUGCGUACGUCAUCGACUUUGGCCUAGCAAGAUUCUUGUUCAGCACAGCAAAUGCACAUCAAGAUAGUUCAGCAAGUUUAAGACGCUUAAAAGGGACCAUAGGAUACAUCCCACCAGAAUAUGGAAUGAGCGAAGAGAUAUCAACCAAGGGUGAUGUCUAUAGCUCCGGAGUGCUUCUGUUACAACUGAUAACAGGGCGUAGUCCAACUGAUGAAAAAUUUAACGAUGGUAUAAGCCUUCAUGAAUUUGUUGAUAGAGCAUUUACGAAGAAUAUUCAUGAGGUUGUUGACCCUACAAUGCUACAAGAUAACAGCAAUGCAACUGACAUGAUGGAGAAUUGUGUUGUUCCACUUCUAAGAAUAGGCCUCUCUUGCUCCAAGGCAUCACCCAAAGAGCGGCCCGAUAUGGGACAAAUUUGUACUGAGAUCCUUAGAAUAAAGCAUGUGGCCUCAUACACAUGCAUGCUAGAUAAAGCAAAGAAUUGGCAGGGUAGUAGCUAG
rnacentral:rRNA from 1 species